AUGUGUCCAGCUGAGCCUCCAAAACAUCACUGGAAGCUGGGGACAUCCAGUGAAUUGCAAGUAAGAAGUCACAGAGGCCACCUGAGGCAUCAGGGGGACUUAUGGAUUAAACGCAAGAGGCCAUCGGGCUGGACUGAGCUCAGCAUAAGGGCUGAGCUGGAGAGCAGGUGCCAGUGGCUGGGAGCUUGCCCGGUCUGCCUUCUCCUCCCUGGCAUUAAGUCCUCCGGCGUCAAUGACCGCCAGUCUCCCAGCUUCAUUCUCCACAGUGCUCAGGAUGGCCAACCUCCCAGAGUCUCCUCCACCAGGGACUUGGCUAAGGUAAGAGCAUUACAGUCCUCUCAGCUCCCCCUCCUCCCUCCCAUGUCUUCCACUGCUGCCUGGCCAAGGUCCCAUGAGGGCAGACUCUGUCCUCUCCUCCCCCUUCCGCCGCUGUGUGUUUCCAGCACUUCCCCUCCUUGCUGUAUCCACGGCAAUCAGAGAACAGGGCUCUCUGCCAGGCGGAGGCUGACAGAAACAGACACGCCUGGAGCUGGGACAUGCACUUCCAGAAGUGUAACCUGUCCUGUGCCGGGCAGUCGUGGUGCUGAGAUGCUCUGGCUCUCUUCCCUGGCAUCCAGCCCUGCACGACCCUCCCCUUCUCCUACCUGAAACUUCCCGGCACACAUCACAGGCCCCAGUCCACCGCCCCAGCAGCGGAGGAGAUACUGCUUAGUAGAACAGUGGAGGCCCCCGCUGCCCCACCCGUAACAAAGGCCAGGUGCCUGGUGCAGCUGGGUUUGAAAUCUGGAUCAGCCACGUGCUAGCUGUGCCACUGCAGCCAAGCAAUUCGGUUUCCUCUUCUGGAAGAUGGGGAGAAGAAUGUCUAGCUCGUGGCUUCUGAGGAUGCGUGUUAACAUUAAGCAUUCCUAGCACAUACCCGGUAUCAUUAGAGAGCCUCCUCUGUUAAUCCAAGUUUUUUUUUUUCCCUGUCAUAGGUGAUUGUGUGGUUCUCCGUGAAGCCACCCCAAACCUUGAAGGCUCACCUUUCAGGAUCUGCCCAGACUGAGCCAUGGCUCUGAGGGGCUGUUGAAAGACCCUCUCCGAGUAGCGUGUACAGUCAGGGACUGCCCCCCACCCCCCACCGACUUCCUAACCCUACAUGCCCUCUUUGCCUCCACAGAAGGCCCUGGACCAUUGUCAUCACUACCCCAGUGACCUGCUGCCAGAACCUCACCUAGGAGUGUGCUGGAAGGCACCUGGCACCGGCCUGGAAGGAACUGCGAAAUGUCCAGUGAGAAUGUCUUUUCCUGCUCUGGUUGGGAUGCCGAGCACAGCCCAGCAUCGUGGAAACCUCUGAUGUUUGGGAGGCUCCUGAAUACUAACGAGGGCAGGAAGAAAAAAAUGAAAGAGGAAGGAGAACGAUGUCUCAGUCAGAAGUUUUUCUAAUCGCUAUAGAUCCCCCCCCCCUCCGUUUUAGUGGAUUUGAGAGAGGAUGUAGGAAAAGGAAGGGGAAAAAGAAUCAAAAGCAGAUUAUUACCCUGAGCCGCUCCUGCUUUUCAUUGGGAGCCGUGACAGCGACUUUCUGCCUGCCAGAUCUGCAUGUUAAAGGCCGACGAAUGAUGCGGGCAAAAUAUUGACAACUGAACUGAGAUUAUAGGUUACUUGGAUCUUGAGAGAUAAGAUCAAUUAAAAUGGAGCUUUCCACUCAGAAGGUGAAUUAGCUUCUGAAAAAAUAAAAAUCUGCUCCCCCGUGCCCA
ensembl:lncRNA